rnacentral:rRNA from 1 species
AGCAGGUCCCAAGGGUUGGGCUGUUCGCCCAUUAAAGCGGUACGCGAGCUGGGUUUAGAACGUCGUGAGACAGUUCGGUCCCUAUCCUCUGUAGCCGAAGGUAAUUUGAGGAGAUCUGUCCCUAGUACGAGAGGACCGGGAUGGACGUAGCUCUCGUGUGCCAGUUGUUCCGCCAGGAGCAUGGCUGGUUAGCGACCUACGGAAUGGAUAACCGCUGAAAGCAUCUAAGUGGGAAGCCAGCUCCAAGAUUAGAUUACCCACCGGGUUAACCGGGUAAGGCCCGUGGCAGACCACCACGUUGAUAGGCCGGAAGUGUAAGCACAGCAAUGUGUUCAGCUGACCGGUACUAAUCGGCCGAGGGCUUGAUUUAAC